UACGGAGGGUGCAAGCGUUAUCCGGAUUCACUGGGUUUAAAGGGUGCGUAGGUGGAUCUAUAAGUCAGUGGUGAAAGCCCCGAGCUCAACUUGGGAAUUGCCAUUGAUACUGUAGAUCUUGAGUGCGGUUGAGGUAGGCGGAAUGUUGCAUGUAGCGGUGAAAUGCUUAGAUAUGCAACAGAACACCGAUUGCGAAGGCAGCUUACCAAGCCGAUACUGACACUGAUGCACGAAAGCAUGGGGAUCAAACAGG
rnacentral:rRNA from 1 species